UCUUGACAUCCAGAGAACUUUCCAGAGAUGGAUUGGUGCCUUCGGGAACUCUGAGACAGGUGCUGCAUGGCUGUCGUCAGCUCGUGUUGUGAAAUGUUGGUUAAGUCCGCAACGAGCGCAACCCCUAUCCUUUGUUGCCAGCGAUUCGGUCGGGAACUCAAAGGAGACUGCCGGUGAUAAACCGGAGGAAGGUGGGGAUGACGUCAAGUCAUCAUGGCCCUUACGAGUAGGGCUACACACGUGCUACAAUGGCGUAUACAAAGAGAAGCAACCUCGCGAGAGCAAGCGGACCUCAUAAAGUACGUCGUAGUCCGGAUUGGAGUCUGCAACUCGACUCCAUGAAGUCGGAAUCGCUAGUAAUCGUAGAUCAGAAUGCUACGGUGAAUACGUUCCCGGGCCUUGUACACACCGCCCGUCACACCAUGGGAGUGGGUUGCAAAAGAAGUAGAUAGCUUAACCUUCGGGAGGGCGUUUACCACUUUGUGAUUCAUGACUGGGGUGAAGUCGUAACAAGGUAGGCGUAGCGAG
rnacentral:rRNA from 1 species